AAACACCGAAGUUAAGCAACGUUGAUCCCGAUCAGUACUUAGAUGGGUAACUGCUUGGGAAUACCAGGUGCUGUCA